rnacentral:rRNA from 1 species
CAGCCGCCGCGGGAAAACGAAGGGGGCUAGCGUUGUUCGGAAUCACUGGGCGUAAAGGGUGCGUAGGCGGGCAUUUAAGUCAGGGGUGAAAUCCCGAGGCUCAACCUCGGAACUGCCCUUGAUACUGGGUGUCUUGAGUCCGGAAGAGGUGAGUGGAACUGCGAGUGUAGAGGUGAAAUUCGUAGAUAUUCGCAAGAACACCAGUGGCGAAGGCGGCUUACUGGCUCGAAACUGACGCUGAGGCGCGAAAGCGUGGGGAGCAAACAGGAUUAGAUACCCGUGUAGUCCCUGUCUCUUAUAC